rnacentral:rRNA from 1 species
GAUGAACGCUGGCGGCGUGCCUAAUACAUGCAAGUCGAGCGAAAAGACGCGGAGGUUGCUCCUCUGACGUUAAAGGCGGACGGGAGAGUAACACGUGGAUAACCUCCCUAUAAGACUGGGAUCACUUCGGGUAACAGGAGCUAAUACCGGAUAAUAUAUUGAACCGCAUGGUUCAAUAGUGAAAGACGGCUUUGCUGUCACUUAUAGAUGAAGCCGCGCCGGAUUAGCUAGUUGGUAAGGUAACGGCUUACCAAGUCAACGAUGCGUAGCCGACCUGAGAGGGUGAUCGGCCACACUGGAACUGAGACACGGUCCAGACUCCUACGGGAGGCAGCAGUAGGGAAUCUUCCGCAAUGGGCGAAAGCCUGACGGAGCAACGCCGCGUGAGUGAUGAAGGUCUUCGGAUCGUAAAACUCUGUUAUUAGGGAAGAACAAAUUUGUAAUUAACUAUGCGCGUCUUGACGGUACCUAAUCAGAAAGCCACGGCUAACUACGUG